rnacentral:rRNA from 1 species
GAUGAACGCUGGCGGCGUGCCUAAUACAUGCAAGUCGAGCGAACGGACGAGAAGCUUGCUUCUCUGAUGUUAGCGGCGGACGGGUGAGUAACACGUGGAUAACCUACCUAUAAGACUGGGAUAACUUCGGGAAACCGGAGCUAAUACCGGAUAAUAUUUUGAACCGCAUGGUUCAAAAGUGAAAGACGGUCUUGCUGUCACUUAUAGAUGGAUCCGCGCUGCAUUAGCUAGUUGGUAAGGUAACGGCUUACCAAGGCAACGAUGCAUAGCCGACCUGAGAGGGUGAUCGGCCACACUGGAACUGAGACACGGUCCAGACUCCUACGGGAGGCAGCAGUAGGGAAUCUUCCGCAAUGGGCGAAAGCCUGACGGAGCAACGCCGCGUGAGUGAUGAAGGUCUUCGGAUCGUAAAACUCUGUUAUUAGGGAAGAACAUAUGUGUAAGUAACUGUGCACAUCUUGACGGUACCUAAUCAGAAAGCCACGGCUAACUACGUGCCAGCAGCCGCGGUAAUACGUAGGUGGCAAGCGUUAUCCGGAAUUAUUGGGCGUAAAGCGCGCGUAGGCGGUUUUUUAAGUCUGAUGUGAAAGCCCACGGCUCAACCGUGGAGGGUCAUUGGAAACUGGAAAACUUGAGUGCAGAAGAGGAAAGUGGAAUUCCAUGUGUAGCGGUGAAAUGCGCAGAGAUAUGGAGGAACACCAGUGGCGAAGGCGACUUUCUGGUCUGUAACUGACGCUGAUGUGCGAAAGCGUGGGGAUCAAACAGGAUUAGAUACCCUGGUAGUCCACGCCGUAAACGAUGAGUGCUAAGUGUUAGGGGGUUUCCGCCCCUUAGUGCUGCAGCUAACGCAUUAAGCACUCCGCCUGGGGAGUACGACCGCAAGGUUGAAACUCAAAGGAAUUGACGGGGACCCGCACAAGCGGUGGAGCAUGUGGUUUAAUUCGAAGCAACGCGAAGAACCUUACCAAAUCUUGACAUCCUUUGACAACUCUAGAGAUAGAGCUUUCCCCUUCGGGGGACAAAGUGACAGGUGGUGCAUGGUUGUCGUCAGCUCGUGUCGUGAGAUGUUGGGUUAAGUCCCGCAACGAGCGCAACCCUUAAGCUUAGUUGCCAUCAUUAAGUUGGGCACUCUAAGUUGACUGCCGGUGACAAACCGGAGGAAGGUGGGGAUGACGUCAAAUCAUCAUGCCCCUUAUGAUUUGGGCUACACACGUGCUACAAUGGACAAUACAAAGGGCAGCGAAACCGCGAGGUCAAGCAAAUCCCAUAAAGUUGUUCUCAGUUCGGACUGUAGUCUGCAACUCGACUACAUGAAGCUGGAAUCGCUAGUAAUCGUAGAUCAGCAUGCUACGGUGAAUACGUUCCCGGGUCU